GGUUCAGUGUGGUAUAGUGGUUAGGAUGUUGGACUAGGACUCGGGAGACCAGGGUUCGAAUUCCCACUAGGCCA